rnacentral:rRNA from 1 species
ACUGUGACGGUAGUUACCAGAAAGGGACGGCUAACUACGUGCCAGCAGCCGCGGUAAUACGUAGGUCCCGAGCGUUGUCCGGAUUUAUUGGGCGUAAAGCGAGCGCAGGCGGUUUGAUAAGUCUGAAGUUAAAGGCUGUGGCUCAACCAUAGUUCGCUUUGGAAACUGUCAAACUUGAGUGCAGAAGGGGAGAGUGGAAUUCCAUGUGUAGCGGUGAAAUGCGUAGAUAUAUGGAGGAACACCGGUGGCGAAAGCGGCUCUCUGGUCUGUAACUGACGCUGAGGCUCGAAAGCGUGGGGAGCGAACAGGAUUAGAUACCCUGGUAGUCCACGCCGUAAACGAUGAGUGCUAGGUGUUGGAUCCUUUCCGGGAUUCAGUGCCGCAGCUAACGCAUUAAGCACUCCGCCUGGGGAGUACGACCGCAAGGUUGAAACUCAAAGGAAUUGACGGGGGCCCGCACAAGCGGUGGAGCAUGUGGUUUAAUUCGAAGCAACGCGAAGAACCUUACCAGGUCUUGACAUCCCGAUGCUAUUUCUAGAGAUAGAAAGUUACUUCGGUACAUCGGUGACAGGUGGUGCAUGGUUGUCGUCAGCUCGUGUCGUGAGAUGUUGGGUUAAGUCCCGCAACGAGCGCAACCCCUAUUGUUAGUUGCCAUCAUUCAGUUGGGCACUCUAGCGAGACUGCCGGUAAUAAACCGGAGGAAGGUGGGGAUGACGUCAAAUCAUCAUGCCCCUUAUGACCUGGGCUACACACGUGCUACAAUGGUUGGUACAACGAGUUGCGAGUCGGUGACGGCGAGCUAAUCUCUUAAAGCCAAUCUCAGUUCGGAUUGUAGGCUGCAACUCGCCUACAUGAAGUCGGAAUCGCUAGUAAUCGCGGAUCAGCACGCCGCGGUGAAUACGUUCCCGGGCCUUGUACACACCGCCCGUCACACCACGAGAGUUUGUAACACCCGAAGUCGGUGAGGUAACCUUUUGGAGCCAGCCGCCUAAGGUGGGACAGAUGAUUGGGGUGAAGUCGUAACAAGGUAGCCGUAUCGGAAGGUGCGGCUGGAUCACCUCCUUUCUAA